rnacentral:rRNA from 1 species
GGAAAGGCGGUGCACGGAGCGGGGGUAAGAGGGAGGGGGGUAGGGGUGCUCGGAAUCACUGGGCGUAAAGCGCACGUAGGCGGUUGGCUAAGGCAGGGGGGAAAUCCUGGAGCUCAACUCCAGAACUGCCCUGGAUACUGGCGAACUCGAGUCCGGGAGAGGUGAGUGGAACUGCGAGUGUAGAGGUGAAAUUCGUAGAUAUUCGCAAGAACACCAGUGGCGAAGGCGGCUCACUGGCCCGGUACUGACGCUGAGGUGCGAAAGCGUGGGGAGCAAACAGGAUUAGAUACCCCUGUAGUC